UACGGAGGGGGCGAGCGUUAUCCGGAUUCAUUGGGCGUAAAGCGCGCGUAGGCGGCCGCCUAAGCGGAACCUCUAACCCCGGGGCUCAACCUCGGGCCGGGUUCCGGACUGGGCGGCUCGAGUGCGGUAGAGGAGAGCGGAAUUCCCGGUGUAGCGGUGGAAUGCGCAGAUAUCGGGAAGAACACCGAUGGCGAAGGCAGCUCUCUGGGCCGUCACUGACGCUGGGGCGCGAAAGCUGGGGGAGCGAACAGG
rnacentral:rRNA from 1 species